CAGCAGCCGCGGGAAUACGUAGGUGGCAAGCGUUGUCCGGAAUUAUUGGGCGUAAAGGGCUCGCAGGCGGUUUCUUAAGUCUGAUGUGAAAGCCCCCGGCUCAACCGGGGAGGGUCAUUGGAAACUGGGAAACUUGAGUGCAGAAGAGGAGAGUGGAAUUCCACGUGUAGCGGUGAAAUGCGUAGAGAUGUGGAGGAACACCAGUGGCGAAGGCGACUCUCUGGUCAGUAACUGACGCUGAGGAGCGAAAGCGUGGGGAGCGAACAGGAUUAGAUACCCCCGUAGUCCCUGUCUCUUAUAC
rnacentral:rRNA from 1 species